rnacentral:rRNA from 1 species
GACAGAGGGGGCAAGCGUUGCUCGGAAUUACUGGGCGUAAAGGGCGCGUAGGCGGGAUGGCAAGUCGGUCGUGAAAUCCCUCGGCUCAACUGAGGAUCGUCGAUCGAUACUGCCGUUCUUGAGGAUUGCAGAGGAGACUGGAAUUCCCGGUGUAGCGGUGAAAUGUGUAGAGAUCGGGAGGAACACCGGUGGCGAAGGCGGGUCUCUGGGCAAUUCCUGACGCUGAGGCGCGAAAGCGUGGGGAGCGAACGGG